rnacentral:rRNA from 1 species
CCUACGGGAGGCAGCAGUGGGGAAUAUUGCACAAUGGGGGAAACCCUGAUGCAGCGACGCCGCGUGAGUGAAGAAGUAUCUCGGUACGUAAAGCUCUAUCAGCAGGGAAGAAAAUGACGGUACCUGACUAAGAAGCCCCGGCUAACUCCGUGCCAGCAGCCGCGGUAAUACGUAGGGGGCGAGGGUUAUCCGGAUUUACUGGGUGUAAAGGGAGCGUAGACGGCAGCACAAGUCUGGAGUGAAAGCCCGGGGCUUAACCCCGGAACUGCUUUGGAAACUGUGCGGCUGGAGUGCAGGAGGGGUAAGCGGAAUUCCUAGUGUAGCGGUGAAAUGCGUAGAUAUUAGGAGGAACACCGGUGGCGAAGGCGGCUUACUGGACUGUAACUGACGUUGAGGCGCGAAAGCGUGGGGAGCAAACAGGAUUAGAUACCCGGGUAGUC